rnacentral:rRNA from 1 species
AUGCACUUUCUUCCCCAUCUUUCACUCUUCUUCCUCCUCUCUUCCCCAUCGUCGGUCGCACACCAUUUCCCCCCGCUCACUGCUCGCCCGCCUGCGCCAUCUUCUUUGGUAGCUCGCGCGUACCAUAUCCCCCAGCUCACUACUCGGCCACACAAGGAGAAGCUUCUUCGCUCGCCUGCCCGAAUCCACUUCCUCGCUGGCUCACACCGACUUGACGAUCCUAUAGAGGUUGCCGUGGUGCCCCUCGACAUGCUGCCACUACCCGUCCACAUGUCCUUCAUGCGCGGCCACUACUGGGCGGGCAUGAAGGCCAACUGGAUCGUCCUCAUCCACCAAUCCGGUAGUCCGUGGCGUCUCGUGGAUAUCUACACCCAACAAGAGAUCACCCGUCCAUCGUUGGAUAAUGCCGCCAUCGAGCCUCGCGGUCCGCCGGACACUCCUGCCUACUAUGCACGAGACGCAUCAAGCUUUUGGCUCGACCUCUGUUUGCUGAAAGUUGUAAUCCGCAAAGUGCCCACACCAUCAGAAGAAUGCAUGGAUUACAAGCUCACUGCCUUGUUCAACAUGGUAUUAGUCUAUCUGGAAACUGGUCGCCGUACAUGGUUAUGGCUCAUCGUCAAUCCUGUUGAGGCAACAUUUCUGUUUGAUGUUAUAGUGCAUGAUGGCAUUGUUUACGCAGUCGAAGCAUAG